rnacentral:rRNA from 1 species
GAUGAACGCUGGCGGCGUGCUUAAUACAUGCAAGUCGAACGGAAAGGCCCUGCUUUUGUGGGGUGCUCGAGUGGCGAACGGGUGAGUAACACGUGAGUAACCUGCCCUUGUCUUUGGGAUAAAUUCUGGAAAAUGGGGCUAAUUCCGGAUAGGAGCUAUUGCUGCAUGGUGGGGGAUGGAAAGUUUCGGCGGUUGGGGCUGGACUCGAGGCUUAUCAGCUUGUUUGUGAGGUAGUGGCUUACCAAGUCUGUGACGGGUAGCCGGCGUGGGAGCGUGACCAGGCUCAUUGGGCCUACGGGAGGCCGCAGUAGCCUACGUUACGCAACGGUCGGAAACAUGACACAAUGGGCCGAAGCCUGAUGCAGCGGCGCCCCGUUCGUGAUGACCGCUUUCGGGUGAAAAACAGCUUUCUCCUUUAACGAAGCGUGAUUGACGGUAAUUAGUAAAGAAGCACCGGCUAACUACGUG